AUUGAACGCUGGCGGCAGGCUUAACACAUGCAAGUCGAGCGGGGAAGGGUAGCUUGCUACCUGACCUAGCGGCGGACGGGUGAGUAAUGCUUAGGAAUCUGCCUAUUAGUGGGGGACAACAUUCCGAAAGGAAUGCUAAUACCGCAUACGCCCUACGGGGGAAAGCAGGGGAUCUUCGGACCUUGCGCUAAUAGAUGAGCCUAAGUCGGAUUAGCUAGUUGGUGGGGUAAAGGCCUACCAAGGCGACGAUCUGUAGCGGGUCUGAGAGGAUGAUCCGCCACACUGGGACUGAGACACGGCCCAGACUCCUACGGGAGGCAGCAGUGGGGAAUAUUGGACAAUGGGGGGAACCCUGAUCCAGCCAUGCCGCGUGUGUGAAGAAGGCCUUUUGGUUGUAAAGCACUUUAAGCGAGGAGGAGGCUACCGAGAUUAAUACUCUUGGAUAGUGGACGUUACUCGCAGAAUAAGCACCGGCUAACUCUGUGCCAGCCGCCGCUGUAAGAC
rnacentral:rRNA from 1 species